rnacentral:rRNA from 1 species
UUGUCCGGAUUUAUUGGGCGUAAAGAGCGUGUAGGCGGCCAGGUAGGUCUGGUGUGAAAACUCGAGGCUUAACCUCGAGAUGUCAUCGGAAACCAUCUGGCUAGAGUCCGGAAGAGGAGAGUGGAAUUCCUGGUGUAGCGGUGAAAUGCGCAGAUAUCAGGAAGAACACCAAUGGCGAAAGCAGCUCUCUGGGACGGUACUGACGCUGAGACGCGAAAGCGUGGGGAGCGAACAGG